AGUCUUAUAGUCAAAAAUGAUAUAAAAUUGCAAAUUUUAAGGUAUAUAAAGAUAUAUUAAGGUUU
rnacentral:tRNA from 1 species